rnacentral:rRNA from 1 species
GACGAACGCUGGCGGCGUGCUUAACACAUGCAAGUCGAACGGAAAGGCCCUGCUUUUGUGGGGUGCUCGAGUGGCGAACGGGUGAGUAACACGGGAGUAACCUGCCCUUGACUUUGGGAUAACUUCAGGAAACUGGGGCUAAUACCUGAUAGGAGCUCCUGCUGCAUGGGGGGGGUUGGAAAGUUUCGGCGGUUGGGGAUGGACUCGCGGCUUAUCAGCUUGUUGGUGGGGUAGUGGCUUACCAAGGCUUUGACGGGUAGCCGGCCUGGGAGGGUGACCGGCCACAUUGGGACUGAGAUACGGCCCAGACUCCUACGGGAGGCAGCAGUGGGGAAUAUUGCACAAUGGGCGGAAGCCUGAUGCAGCAACGCCGCGUGCGGGAUGACGGCCUUCGGGUUGUAAACCGCUUUCGCCUGUGACGAAGCGUGAGUGACGGUAAUGGGUAAAGAAGCACCGGCUAACUACGUG